CGAGCCGGUCGGCUUGGUUACGAGGCUCAGGGCUCAGGGCUUCUCGCCGCCACCGCCGCCCCCUGAUGUAGAUGGCGUACGGGUGGUUGCAGUCUGCUACACUCCAGCGAUUCCCGUGAUUCCAACGGCCUGGUCCUCUGCAUCCUCGGUCGCCUCCUCCUGAACAUCUGCCCGUCUCGCUUCACCAGGCCUUGAUCCCUCUUUCUUGUGGCCAAUGGGGGAAUCCAUGCCGGGGAGCAACAUGCACCAAUGGAGUUCCUGCAGAACAGAGCACGCAGACCAUGGUGGCCGUCACGGUCGCCGUGACCACUGGCGCCGGAUUUCCUCCUCCGGCAGCAAAAAAAGGUUCGCGCGCGCCAACUCCUAUAGAUAGUGUGCGGGUUCUUUGGAUCAAGUACAGAGUUGGGAAAUUUGUUGUGGAUUUUGUGAGAUUGAUAUACUUGAGGCGUAGCCAUCUGCGUCUUUGAUUAUCCAUGAAGCUGCUCAAUAUAGAUGUGUUCUUUUUUCGUCUGGAUACAUGCACCAGUUCCGCUCAGGACUGUACCGAUUCAUACUUUCGAGGUAAUUUAGGUGAACCCGGGUGAUUAAAUUUUGUCGUACUUCCAUGCAUGCUCCCCUCUCUCAGUUUCUCUAGCGAUGUGUUGCUUCUGUGUUUCGUUGGUGGCACCAGACCAAUUCAUCUCUACCACAUGACCUGAUGCUCUGUAUUUUUUGGGACGUAUUUGUCUUCUGGAAGAAGCUAGCUUUGACGGAUUUAGGUGUGAUUUAUCUAGAAAAGGAAAACUAUACGAGGCAAGCCAACGGCAAGAAAGACAAACAAGAUGACGCCGGACUGUUGGAAGGUGACAUGCUGGAUCCAUGGCGGGCUGGUGCUUUGCAGAUGAACCGACUAAGAGAUUUGUGCGCUAGCCCAACAAGAAGGUGCAGCGCUAUUCUACACUCUUCUCAAAGGACAUGUCGCUGACCUCUGCGAGCGAGCGAUGGUGGUGAGAGUCUGCAAUAGAGAACAGACUUGAAAACGGCGUCCACAAAUUGCAUUGUCAGAGGCGGUACCUUGUAGAGGCAAGGCCUAUGGUGGCGGCAUCUAGGCCCUGAUGACGGCAACGGUAAGGUGUACAUUAGGUACAAAGCUACACAACCUCACCUUCUAUCUCGAGUUCUCGACAAAGACGGGUCAGGCACCAGCUUCAUCAUACACAGGUUGUUCUUCCUGUGCAAAAGCACCAGAGUCGAGUUAUGUCACCACCAUGAUGAUGAACGGCGACCCGUCUUUGAAAAUCAAACGAGCGGAAGCAGAAUGACUCUUUUUAUACCAUACGUAACAUUUUAUCUCCAGGAUUUUAUCGACUUUCUCGACUCCAAUCGCCCUUAGAAUGCUCUUUUUUUAUACUUUCUAUAUUUCCUCCUCAAUACCCGUCGGUAUUGCAUGUCGGAUGUGCCAUUGCUUAUAGCGACAAUCUUGAAUUGGGCGACAGAGAUAAUGGGUGGAAUAAGAAGAAGAGAAGUGAGUUAAACGUUAACAAAAAUCAGCAAUGCUAUCUGACGUGUACGAGGAUCCUAAAGGUACAUAUUUGACAUGUUUGAUAAUAUUGCACAAUUAGAAUAUCUAUGCCUUCGAGCCUGAUUCUCAGCCCUUGCAUUCUCCCGUUGCAACGCACGGGCUCUUAAUAAAGCACAGAUUGACUCCGUGGGUUCACCGUCACAAUACGUUUUCUUCCUGUGAAUUUGCACUUUCAGUUUUUAUUAAAUGUAAUGAUUUUAGAUCUUUCUUAGUUCGUUGGUGGUACUAUUCAUGUGAUCAUAUGGCCCGCCACGCACGACUGUUCCGUUGUUCCUGUUAUUAAUCAGGAAGAAGCAUUUUGGUACCUAAAAGAUCUCCACGAACAGGAAAAAGGAGUUGAUCAAGGACACGAGACGGGACCGAGUUGACGUCCAUCGAGAUCAACCUACCACGCCUACAUAUAAAAACAGGAGAGGAGGCGGCGGCCAGAGGUAAGGGACGAGGAAGUGCCCAGGGUGGCGGCGGCUGGAGCUUGGAGGGGCCGGAUCCGUGCGCGUCAGGGGCUGGGGAGGCGGAUCCGGAGGUGGGCGGCGCGGGGGUGUCGCCGGUGACGGCAAGGAAGGCCGGAGCGCGGCUUCUCGGGCAGAAACGAGACAAGGAGGUGAGGAGAGAAGAAGCGACAAGCAACAAAGGAAGGGAGGUGCGACGACCUAGGCAGGAGCUCGCCGGAGCCGGGCGACGACCGACGGGCGCGGGUGACGGAGGGAUAUGACACGGCGUUGCGAAAUCCUUUGCGGGUGCGAGCGGACGACGGCGCGAUGGACGGCUGGGCGUGCGACGACGCGGAGCCCUCCUGUCGCUAUGGCGCCCCAGUGGAGUGCCCUGAGGCCGCGGAUGCUGCUCCUACACCCACACCACCAGCCCAAGGUCAGUCUCCUCUACCUGGUUGACUGGUUCUAUAGCGCAGCUCCCGUCUCGCACCAUGCUGCUGAACUUCUGCCCCUCAACCCCACUGCUCCUCCUAAAUUAGCUCAAUGGCGUUGACUCUUCCAUAGAGGAUGGUGUGGUGUCAGGCCAGGCAGCAUAACACUCGACGAGUACACGUUCUGCAGCCCUCGAGGCUGAGCAGCCGCCAUUGGCUCGUGGGUAUGGAAGCAGAGUCCGGGAUGGCGAUGGUGCCAAGGAGGACUCUUGGACGUCCACCAAUUGCAUCGCUGCUGCCGUACCCAUGGAGUGGCGCGGCUCCAACUACUCUGAGAUGGUAUUCCUCCCUCUUUCUUUCCUAACAGAACUAUUCGGUGUCAUCCCCUUUUUUAAAUGAAGUACAACCUGCUAGCUACCUAAUGGGCACUGCCACUGAACUUGUCAACCCCUUCAGUUCUGCCGAUGCAUUGUAGACUCCAACAAUGGUGGAAAGGAAUCAGAUUCCAAUGAAACUAGCACUAUUGUGUUUUUAGACAGUUGCCUUUUUUUGCUAAAUUACCUAGCUUCUUCGUGGUAGAGUAGGUACAAAGAUACUCUCUGAUGAAUUUGAUUGGUAUUGUGUAAAGUAGAAAGCCUGAAAUUACUUCGUUGGUAACUGAGUUAACUAAUCCCAGAACUAGAAACAGGUAGGUGAUCGAAAGAUUUGCGGAUUGUGAACCUUUUACUCAGUCUUAUCCCUAGGGUGCACAACAUUUGCUUUUAGCAAAGGGUAUCUAUUGCUGAGAUUCUUACAAAUUGCUGGGAGUCAGCAUAAAGUACAUGGAACACAUUGGUGCGAUAUUUUAAAAUUGUGAAACAGCCUCCAAGCUACUUGUGAAGGUGUCAAUUUCUGCAUUGAUAAAGAUUCAAUUAUACUUCUGAUGGGAUUUUUUCUGUUAGCUAUCUGUACAAGAGAAUGAACUUGAGAAAUAUUAAUUUCUAGAUAAAUUUCUUUGGAAAGUGAAGCUUCCCCUGAAAAUUAAAGUUUUUCAUGGCUGGUUUUAAAAGAAUAAACAUACUAACUAAAGUCAAUUUAUUCAAACGAUGUUUUCGGGGAGAUAAAACCUGUCAAUUGCGUGGUAGAGAUGAGAUUAUUGGUGCAGAGGAAUCAGUAUUACAACAGAACUUGAAGCUGCCGAAGAUGGAUGAUGUUUGGUUUUGGUGGAAAGAUCAGGUGCAUAUGAACAACCUAUCAUCUUCCAUUUUUGCUUUUCAUCAUUCAACGGGACAAUUUCCUAAUUCUUUGUUAGUACUCUCUGGAAAGAUUAUUAGUAUGGGUAUAGGUUUGUCAAAAUUUAUUUGCACAUGAUUCUUUGGAGUGGGAUUCUAGAUAGAAGCUUAUGAACCUCAUAAAAAAGUAGUACGCCUUUGAUCCUAACUGACUGUUUGUAUGUUGGAUGAUUUCAACUUGCUAUAUCCCAACAUACUUUUUUUUUCUAACAAAAACUGUAGGAGAAGUCCUAACAGUCUACACUUCUGCAUUGUAUCUUGAAAAGUAGAUCAUUUCUCUAGCAUUCUGACAAAUGGUAGUUUGCAGAUUGAUUAGUUGGUUCCAGUUCCUUUAGCAGGUACAUCACUUCUCAAUGAUAAUUCUGUCCCACUACCGAAGAAAAAAAAAUAUAAUGGUAAUGUUCAUUGGUGCUAGGCCUCCAGAAGUGGGUUUGUCGGAUUUUCAUUUUCUUUGUAUAUUAAAUGUAAUAUAUAUACACACUGAUAUAAAAGCAUCAUGACAUCAUACCAAGAUUUUAAUUUUCGUGGCAGCAUGGCUGUGCUUAGUUCAGUUUUUCUUGGUCUACUUCCAGUUAAUUCCUUAUUGUGUUGUGGUGUUGGGAAACAUACUUAUCCGUGACUCCUGCAGCCUGUAGAUUUUGGGGAGAUAGAGUAUGUACUGUAGGUUCAUUUUGUUUUCUCCUAAUCAAACUCAGGGUGUGUGCACAACUACAGAAUUAGCAAAGAGACUUUUUUCAGACAGAAAGACAAUCUAAUACUCCCUGUGUUCAAUUUUGUAAGACGUUUUAGACAUGAGGAAGUAUUAGGUCUUAGUAUGAACAAAUGAUCAAUAUCAAACAUCGUGAAAUAGUUUUUUCUUCCGUUGCAACGCACGGGCCCUUUUGCUAGUAAUAAUAUAAUCUUUCCCUAAUAAUAAAGUACGGAUUGACUUUGUCGGGUUCACUGUCACAAUACGUUUUCUUUUCAUGUCAUAUUACGCUUUUACAGUUUGUAUAGUCAAAAUCGUAAUAUAAACGAAGUGGUACUAUUCUAACUUGCCCGUAAAUUCGUCCGUAACAAUUUUCGUCCGUCCUUCGAAUUGUAAAAAGAAAUAAACCAGGACGGGCUCUCCUCCUCGAUGCCUACAGGCACGGCGGCGCCGCCGCCGCCCCAACGCGCGGCCGCACAGCCGAUCUUCUUCCCCGACCCCGACCCUUUGCAAUUCUGUCUCCUUCCCCUCUCCAUCUUCCCAAAUCUUCUCCUGUGCCACCCUGAGCCUUCUCGGUCUCCAACCUCCUGCAAUCUUCAAGCCCGCCGGCACCCAAUCCGCCUACAAUCUUCAAGCCCGCCAGCACCAAAAGCAACCAGCGGUCGAUUCGAGUGACCCCCGCUAGGAAUCCAUGGGAUUUGAGGUGGAUUUCCUAGGAGAGCGAGUAGGAAGGGUGAUGGUGGGGUUCAUGGGGAAGGUGAAGAAGCAGAAGGUGAUCCACGGCCCGCACGCGACGCCGAGCCACCACGGGCCUCCUCCCCUGCCGCUCGCCGCCAUGCCGGGACGGCGUACUGGGCCUUGCCGGAAGCCGAGGACAAGCGAGACAAUGGCCAUCCACCCUGGGCCAAGGACAAGCACAGAGCGACCAGCGGAGAUAACUAUGCUCGGGCAGAUGGAUCCCGCCGCGGCGGAGUUCGAGGAGAACAGUAGCUGUGAUGACUCAACAAGAUGGAAGUGCGGGACAAGGGAUGAGUGCAAUCGGCUCAGGUAAACUCCUCCUGUACACCGUCUGGCAUCAGUUCCAGUUGCGCCCGAAGCUUUCAAUCUCGCUGCUCCACUUAGUUUGCCGAAACACUGUCGGCAUGUGCUCCAUCCAAGGUACGCCAUCGUCCAAUUCUAUCAUCAGUUUUGAACUUUAAACUAAUGACUAAUGGGUCGGAGUGGCCAGGCCUGAAAGUUCAAGGAAGAUUCAGCUUACAUUUGAAUUCCUUUGUAUUGCCUACAAUGUUAUAGCUUAAAUUCUGCUAAUAAAUUUCUAUCAAUGAUGUUCCAAACAAUUUCUUAGAGAUGGGUUGUGCACAAGGAUGCACAUUGUAGAUCUGUUAACUUAAGUUUUGAAUAAUGAGAUAUGUUCAUAUGCUUUGCUCACUAUUAUUCCUAAUUUUCUCUGGACAUAAAGACUGAAGUUUAUUGCUUUUGUUCAGCCGAGUGCUACUUGAUCAGUACUUAACCAAGAUUGGCAGCCAUUAUAGCUGGUGUAGAACUCAGAUAUACACACUGAAUGUUCCGAUAUGCCAAAAUAAACACAUUAGAAUCUUUUUAAUUAUAUUCCUACUAUUUUUUCGAGAUUGCUCUGCGGUAGCUAAUUUUGAUGUUCUGCUAUACUACUAUUGCAUAUAGAGAGAGAUCAGAGAGGAGAGCAGCAGCCCGCUGCUGCAAUUUUGUUCAUGCUGCUGCUUGGUUACUACACAUCUAUACAGAGAACACAGAGAAGGCUGCUGCUUGCUGAUUACAAUUGCUUCAUGAUAUGUACAUAUCCUUAUGUAUGCUGCUGCUAUGUACCCUUGAUCAUGGUGACAAGGAAUUGAUGCUGCAGCGGUAGGGAUCUGGUGGCCAUGGAGCGGCAGCCGCUACGUACAUACAUAACUCCAGCGAGUCAUGGUGAGGAGACUUUGAUCUUUAUAUGUUAGAUUCAGAGUGGAUAUACGUUACUACAUGUAGGCCCCAUACGCCAUACGAGUUCCUCCAUUUUUUAUGUUAGCUGAUGAGCUUUCUUCUCCACUCUACACAGAUUGGUCCUGCAUGAUGCAUCCAUGGCUUAGGAUAAGAAAUGACUGUUUCCAUCUAACUGUUAUUUUUUUUCUAAAUCAAUUGAGGAGAACAUAUAAAGAAAAAACAAGUUACUUAUCCGAUUCAUUUGCGAAAUUCAGUACUUUCUUAUACUGCUCUGUUUUAGGAGACGAAAUAAAGCGAAAAAGAAAUUUCUAUGAAGGAUCUCUAGGGAGAUUUGGCACAUGAAGUUAAGGUUUGGUACAUUCGAUCUCCAAAAGAUAUGGUGAGACAUCUGAAUUAUGUUUCAUCUUCACAGACUAAUAUGACAUUUUACCUGGCUAUUUUCCCCAUUUGUUGCUGUAGCUAAUAGUGUUGAUAUAUAUCCCAUUGUAGUGCAUUCAUUUGUAAAUAAGGAUUUUAUGACCUUUGUUUGUGUUCCUGUCGUUAUCAUUAAGCUUGCCUCAUGUAAUUGUUAGCACUGCAAUCAGAUAUAAUAUUAAAUAUUUGUUGCAAUCAGAUAGUAUAUUAUCCUUCGAGUGAUCAUAGAUGUUCAAAAUGAUGUUUGUUACCACCAUGAGUUGUACUUUGCAAUCUUAGGAUAUACGACAUCUGUUUACUGCAGUAUAUUGCUACCAAAGCCCCUAUCUAUAUCACAUUUAAAAAGUAUUCUCUCAUGGCUUUGUAAGAUUUUCCUUUAUGCAAAUUAGAUUGCUUAUUAAUAGCAUUCAUAUUUCAAAUAUUCAUUGAUAUGAAUAACCAUGUAUAGACCACGAAAUGUAGUUGAUACACACGAGCCAUACAACGUUAGAUAUGAUUCUUACCUAAAUCCAGGGAAUGGCUGUAUUAAGUUAUUCAUGAUCCGAAAUGUUAUCCAUGUGAAUGUUUAUUUUGCAAUCUGUUGUAAAGCUAGGAAAUUUGUUGGCAAUAGUUUUUGUGUCGAGGUUCUUCUGUUUAGAUUCUAACUGAUAUGUAAGGGCAUACCGAUGAAUCAAAUAUUUAGAUGUUUUUUUCUUUUUGAGAUUUUGAACUUCAGGGGUGGGGGUGUCUUCAGUCAUGCUUAUUGGAUUAGGAUCUAGGACCGUGAGCUAUUUUCUAAAAGUCCUGUUGCAACGCACGGGCAUGUUUGCUAAUUUUUAGAAAAAUGCAUCGGGCAAAUUCAUAAUUAAAAAUUAAGAGCCUUUCGUUGAGUGUCAUCAAAGAUGCCUUGAAGGUCU